CAGUAGCCGCGGUAACACGAAGGGUGCAAGCGUUAAUCGGAAUUACUGGGCGUAAAGCGUGCGUAGGCGGUUUGUUAAGUCUGCUGUGAAAUCCCCGGGCUCAACCUGGGAAUGGCAGUGGAUACUGGCAAGCUAGAGUGUGUCAGAGGAUGGUGGAAUUCCCGGUGUAGCGGUGAAAUGCGUAGAGAUCGGGAGGAACAUCAGUGGCGAAGGCGGCCAUCUGGGACAACACUGACGCUGAAGCACGAAAGCGUGGGGAGCAAACAGGAUUAGAUACCCCCGUAGUCCCUGUCUCUUAACA
rnacentral:rRNA from 1 species